CGGGUGAGUAAUGCAUAGGAAUCUACCCAGUAGCGGGGGACAACCUGGUGAAAACCAGGCUAAUACCGCAUACGCCCUACGGGGGAAAGCAGGGGAUCUUCGGACCUUGCACUAUUGGAUGAGCCUAUGUCAGAUUAGCUAGUUGGUGGGGUAAUGGCCCACCAAGGCGACGAUCUGUAGCUGGUUUGAGAGGAUGAUCAGCCACACUGGGACUGAGACACGGCCAG
rnacentral:rRNA from 1 species